UAGGACGUGUUUUAUGCCACUUCUUUUUCUGUCUCAUGUUGUCCACCAAACUUUUAACGUUGUGCAUGAAUCCACAAAGGUCACACGUCGGAGGAGGCCAGGCAGGGGGCGUUUGGCGGGGAGAAGAAGUCGCCGCCGCCGCCGCCGCAGAAGCCCUCCUCGGACAGGUGUCCGUACUCGUUGUUGUAGAAGGUCUGGCCUGACAGCUGGCUGAAGAAGUUUGGACAAUGUCUGGAGUUGGUGGCGCCAAAGCUCCGGCCCAGAGACCCGUGGGAGGACGUCAGAGGCUCCGUGCUGCUGCUGCUGCUCAUGCGCCUGAAGACAUAUAUCGGAACAGACAGUGCUUCUCGCCGCUCCGUCUGCUCUGAGCCUCGCACACGUAGUGACCCUCGUCCUGCAGCUGUAUGGCGGGGAUGGUGAAGUCCAGGACCCAGCUGUUGGACGGCUCCUGGAAGGAGAGCUGUCCGUCAAGGCCGACGGCGUAGAGGUGCACGCUUCUGCAGUCCAGCUCCUGGGGCUUGCCCUGCAGGGCCAGGGGGUCCAGGCGGUACCAACGCAGCUGCUCAUAGGUGUAGUUAUCUGCACUGCAGCUUAAAGACGCCGUCUCCUGCUCCAGGGGAUUCUCAGAUGGAUGCACAUCCACGCUGAACCCCUCAGGGAUGGCUGGGAUCAUCGGAAAAAAAGAAAACAUUUAAUGUGAAAGCAAAUCUUGCAGCACAGAAAGUUCUUCAGAGAUUUUUCUUAUUCUUCUCUUCCAGUGGUGUAUGGCCAGCUGCUUGUCCUUGACCUGAGGUUUGAUAAUAUGACGUCCACACAGUCGUAUUGUCAUGUUUUUCUCAGAAACAUUUUUUCUGUCAUAUUGAGUGUGAUAGUUACAUUAUGAGAAAAACCGAAUUGUUUUAUUUGCAAACCUUACAAAAACAACUGAUUUUAGUAAAACUCACAUAGAAAUAAUAUUAGUUAUUUUUAGACAGAUUUCAUGUUUGGUUUUGGAGUUGUUUAUAUAACUUUCAUAAUUAGUAUGACAGAUACAUUGUCAUAUUGAGUAAAAAAAAACCUAACUUGUGUCUUUGCAAACCUUACAAAAUAUAAUUUUCUAGUAAAACUCACAAAGAUACAUUUCCUCAGGCAUUAUUAAACAUUUUGCAUGUUUGGUUUAGGAGUUAUGUUUGAAUACAUUUUUAUUGCUUUUUUCGCAUCAUGAUUUGACGCUUUGGCAUUUUUUAACACAAGUACCUAACAUUGUUACAUUUAUAAGUCUAAAACAGGGGUCGGUAACCUUAUUGGCUGAGAGAGCCAUGAAAGCCAAAUAUUUUAAAAUGUAUUUCCGUGAGAGCCAUAUAAUAUUUUUUAACACUGAAUACAACUAAAUGUGUGCAUUUUUAAGUAAGGCCAACAUUUUAGUAUAAUAAGUCUCUUAUUCUUUUUAAUAACAUUGUUAUUCUGAAGCUAACUAAUAAUAAAUAAAAUACUUCUUGAACAGGUGCGGUAGAAACAGAUGGAUGGAUUAAAAUGCAUGAGAAUGUUUUAUAUUUUGAACGUUAUUAUUAAAACACUGAUUACCAGCGGAAUUAUUCAUUACUUAUCGUGUUAAGCAAUGUCAGCUAAGAGUUACCUGAGAGCCAGAUGCAUUCAUCAAAAGAGCCACAUCUGGCUCGAGAAACAGGUUCCCUAUCCCUGGUCUAAAACGACACAAUUCAUCAUCGGUCCCCUUAAAUGUUUUGGUUGUGUUUGGUUUGAAUUUUUACAGUAUUAUUUUCUUACGAGAUCAAAUCUUUUUUUAAUUGUUUUAGGUGUUGAUUUUUUUUUUAAGUAUAAUUUUUACUACAAGAAAAAUUUUAUUUUUGUUUAUCCAUUAAGGAAAUUUUAAAGUUUUUGACAUUCCAAUGGUAAAAAAGACUAAUGAGGAAUAAAAGUAUAUUGCAUUUGAAAGGGUGUACUUACAUAUUAUGAUUACAUUAGUGCUUGAUUAGGUCUCAAAAUAAGGGUGACAAUAACAUUGAAUCUUUCCAUCAAUGUGUGGAACAAUAUAUCCUAAAUGUGUUAUUGGCCCAGUACUGUUGUGAACUUGAUCCACUUUUUAAAUUGACACUGUAACCCUGUCCAACAUAACCAAUGACAUAAGGCUUUAUUCACACUGCAGGUUAUUUCCGAUUUUUUUUUUUUGCCCAGAUGUGACCUGUAUCAGAUUUAUUUAAUGUUUGUGUGAACAGUGCAAUUCCGAAUUUUUCAUAUCCGA